rnacentral:rRNA from 1 species
UUCAGAUCGCAGUCUGCAACCCGACUGCGUGAAGUCGGAAUCGCUAGUAAUCGCGGAUCAGCAUGCCGCGGUGAAUACGUUCCCGGGCCUUGUACACACCGCCCGUCACACCAUGAGAGUCGGGAACACCCGAAGUCCGUAGCCUAACCGCAAGGGGGGCGCGGCCGAAGGUGGGUUCGAUAAUUGGGGUGAAGUCGUAACAAGGUACC